UUUUCCUCACACCCAUUUAUAAUUUUAUUUAUAACUGUCCCUUUGUGAGAAUAUUAAGAAGCAAAUUCCUUAAUAAGCUACUGCCUAUUUCCUUAUAUCCAUUUUUUAUUUAUUACUGUCCUUUCGUUAAACGAUAUUUUAUGCCAUUUGGCUGGAGAACCAAAGGUGAUCAGCAGAUUUAGCCUUUUCAUGGUCAAAUUGAAUCAGAAAGCAGUUUGGAGACAGAAAUAUUGGAAUAGAAGAAUUUUCUGAGGAGAUAUAAGAGGGAGCAAAGGCUUGUAAUAAAAUCUCGACGGACUGAUUAUUCCAGUGGUCGUCUAUAAGCUGAACCACUUUUAAACACUGCACAAUUUCUUCUUUGUACCUUCGUGUAGAACUCAGGUUCUAUCUUUUGUUUCCUUUUUUUU